rnacentral:rRNA from 1 species
UACGGGGGGGGCAAGCGUUGUUCGGAAUUACUGGGCGUAAAGGGUUUGUAGGUGGCCGGCUAAGUCAGACGUGAAAUCCCUCAGCUUAACUGGGGAACUGCGUCUGAAACUGAUCGGCUCGAGUGCAGGAGAGGAACGCGGAAUUCCAGGUGUAGCGGUGAAAUGCGUAGAUAUCAAGAGGAACACCUGAGGUGAAGACGGGUUGCUGGGCUGACACUGACGCUGAGGCGCGAAAGCCAGGGGAGCAAACAGG